UGUCCGCCUGGGAACUACGAGCAUCAGCUUAAAACCCGAAGGACUUGGCGGUGCUUAAGAUCCACCUAGAGGAGCCUGUUCUAGAACCGAUAACCCCCGUUAAACCUCACCCUCUCUUGUUCCUGCCGUCUAUAUACCGCCGUCGUCAGCUUACCCUGUGAAGGUCCUAUAGUAAGCUAAAUUGGCAAAGCCCAAAACGUCAGGUCGAGGUGUAGCAUAUGAGAGGGGAAGAAAUGGGCUACAUUCUCUGUAAACAGAGCACACGGAAAGUAUGUUGAAAGACACACUGGAAGGAGGAUUUAGCAGUAAGGAGUAAAUAGAGCGUACCCCUGAAGCUGGCCCUAAAGCGCGCACACACCGCCCGU
rnacentral:rRNA from 1 species